GCCUGGGUAGCUCAGUCGGCUGAGCAUCUGACUUCGGUUCAGGUCAUGAUCUCACCGUUCGUGAGUUCGAGCCUCGCAUCGGGCU
rnacentral:tRNA from 1 species